AGGACGAACGCUGGCGGCGUGCUUAACACAUGCAAGUCGAGCGGUAAGGCCCUUCGGGGUACACGAGCGGCGAACGGGUGAGUAACACGUGGGUGACCUGCCCUCCACUUCGGGAUAAGCCUGGGAAACCGGUCUAAAUACCGGAUAGGACCUUGAGACGCAUGUUUCUUGGUGGAAAGUUUUUUCGGUGGGGGAUGGGCCCGCGGUCUAUCAGCUUUGUUGGUGGGGUGAUGGCCUACCAAGGCGACGACGGAUAG
rnacentral:rRNA from 1 species